GGAGGAUUGGCCGAGCCCGGAAAGGCAGCCGUCUCGAAAACGGUGGUCGGCGUGACGAGCGCCGCGCAGGUUCAAAUCCUGCAUCCUCCGCCA
rnacentral:tRNA from 1 species